rnacentral:rRNA from 1 species
UACGUAGGGGGCUAGCGUUGUCCGGAAUCAUUGGGCGUAAAGCGCGUGUAGGCGGUCCGGUAAGUCCGCUGUGAAAGUCGGGGGCUCAACCCUCGGAUGCCGGUGGAUACUGUCGGGCUUGAGUACGGAAGAGGCGAGUGGAAUUCCCGGUGUAGCGGUGAAAUGCGCAGAUAUCGGGAGGAACACCUAUGGCGAAGGCAGCUCGCUGGGACGGCACUGACGCUGAGACGCGAAAGCGUGGGGAGCAAACAGG